rnacentral:lncRNA from 1 species
UUUCAACUUCUGGAUUUCUUCUAAGUCAUCCCCUGUUAUGAUCAUGUCAUCAACGUAAAUGACUAAGCAAGAAAUAAGAUCACCUCGUUUCUUCAAGAAUAAGGUGUGGUCUGAAUUGCUUUGCUGGUACCCGAAUUUCUUCAUAGCUGCGGUGAAUCUUCCAAACCAAGCUCUGGGAGACUGCUUGAGCCCAUAUAAGGUUUUCUUCAACUUGCAAACUUCACCCUCUCCAAAAUCUCCUGAAAAACCUUGAGGCACCUCCAUGUAGACUUCCCUCUCUUCUUCAAGCUCUCCAUGAAGAAAAGCAUUUGUAACAUCGAACUGAUGAAGAUCCCAGUCCUUAUUAGCAGCAAUUGAGAGGAGCACCCUGACAGUGUUCAUCUUUGCCACAGGUGAGAAGGUCUCCUCAUAGUCGAUCCCAUACAUCUGUGUGUAUCCUUUUGCGACCAAUCGAGCUUUGUAACGCUCAAUAGAUCCAUCGGGUCUUCUUUUGAUUGUGAAAACCCAUCUGCAUCCCACAGUUUUCUUCCCUUUUGGCAACCGACACUUCUCCCAUGUGUGAUUCCGGUUUAGGGCUCCUAUCUCUUUCUUCAUAGCAUUUCUCCAAUGCUCGAUCUUCAGGGCUUGCUCUGCUGUUUGUGGAAUCUCCUCAUCAUAUAAGGCCGCUUCAUAGGCUGUGGCAUUUUUGGACAAGUUUCCCUUGGCGAUAUUCCCAACUGAGUAUCGCGAAUUCCUCACAAUUUUCUCUGGGGUAUACCGUUUAGGAGGUACACCCCGAUUACUCCUGGGUGGUAGCACAUAUCUCCCAGUAUCUCCAUCUACUGUAUUAUCCUCCUGUUCUUCUUCAAUGACUUGAGAAAUAUUAUCAGCGGAAUCAGAAGCCACAAUAGUAGGUUCAGAAGAUCUUACCUCAGAUAUCAGUGGCGGAGAAGAUAUAGGCUCAUGCAGCGGACUAGAUUGUUCUGGAGUGGAUGAAACAUGCUCGGUGGCAAGGCUAACUUUUUCUGUUGGGUCUGCUUCCGGGCCUGGAAUUGGUAACCAACUUAACAGGUCGAUCUCACUCUCCCCCUGACUGUUAAGGUGGGGACUGUAAAAAUACUCAGUUUCAAGAAAGUCGCAGUUCAUGGUAGUUAUGAUUUGACGGGUUUUAGGAUUGUAACAUCUAUACCCUUUUUGGUUAACACCAUACCCGACAAACACACACUUAAUGGCACAAGGAGAGAGUUUAGUCCGUUCAUGCUUGGGAAUAUGAACGAAUACGGAACUACCGAAAAACUCGAGGUUGAAGAGUAAGAGCGAGAGGUAUAUCAGAAAGAGUGGAUAAUUUCUGUAAAGGAGUUUGAAGCUGGAGGGUUCUGGUGGGAAGAUGAUUUAUAAGGUAAGCAGAGGUGGCGACAGCUUCAGGCCAGAAGUGGGUGGGUACCUUAGACUCAAGCAUCAUAGCACGGGUCAUUUCAAGGAGAAUUCUAUUUUUUCGUUCAGCAACACCGUUUUGUUCGGGAGUAUGGGAACAAGUGGUUUGAUGAAUUAUCCCUCUUUGUUGACAGAAGUCCUGCAUGGAUCGAUUGACAAACUCCCCCCCAUUAUCGGUUCUAAGGGUUUGGAUAUGUUUUUGAAAUUGAGUUUGAAUCAUUUUAAAGAAAUGAGUGAACUUUUCAAAAACUUGAGAUUUAUUUUUGAGAAAAUACACCCAUGUCAUCCUAGUGCAAUCAUCAAUAAAGAGAAGAAAAUAUCUAAAACCUUGACCCCCCACAACAGGUGAAGGACCCCAAACAUCAGAAUGAACAAGAGAAAAUAUGGAGUUCACUUGUGUGUCAUUAGGCUUAAAAGAUUUUCGGUGGCUUUUAGCUAAAACACAAGUCUCACAAGAUAAAGUCUCAUUUUUCACUAAUUUAGGAAAUAAAAGCUUAAGAUAACCCGUGGAUGGAUGCCCUAACCGACGGUGCCAAAGCCAGGCUUCCCGGUCAGCAGUUCCGUGAGCCAGCAUCACCUUUCCUUGUUGAGCUAUCUCAUUCACAUAGUAUAAUCCAUCCCGCUCAGUGCCACGCCCAAUAAUCUCCCCCGUCCUGAUAUCCUGAAGAAAACAAAAGUGGGGAUGCAUUAUCAUGGUGAUUUAUGCUUAUUUUACUCUAUUUUUAAGGGUUUGUUUGUGCGUGGUUUAAGUUAAUCUUCUGGAAAUUGGUGCUUUUUAUGGUGUAUUCUAUGCUUUGCAGGAGAUUUAGGCUUUCGAGAUGGAAGAAUGCAAUUUUGGAGAUUUUUGGAUGAAUUUGGCGUUUUCUAGGUGCUCUGGUCUCCAGUGCAGAGAAAUCGACAUCUCCAGAGAAAUCGAAGCUCCAGUGCAGCGAAAUCAAAGCCCAGACCAGAGGAGCCGAAUGCCUGACCAGAGAAAUCAAGAAUCUAGAGCAGAGGAAUCACCAUUCCUCUGCAGAGAAGUUCCAGAACAGAGGAAUAGAAGCCACGCGCUGUAAAGCCAGAGGAAUCGAUCGACAGAGAAAUCAACCAUUCCUCAGGGGUCAGCGAAAUCAAGAAGCCAGUGUAGCGAAGUCAUCACCAGAGCAGCCAAGUGAGAGUCAGAGCAGAGGGGAAAGAAGCAAUACAGCGGAAUCAAGGGAUGGCUUUGUAAUAUCUCGGAACUUGGGGGGUUAGUUGGCAUAAAAUGGGGUGUUUUAUGAUAAUAAGGAAAAGAUGGAGGGUUUGGUGUGAAAACACAAAACCUAUACCUGCUUUUAAUCUCCCCAAACCACACCAGCCGCCUCCCCCUCACGCCCGCUGCCUCCAUUCUGCCCAGCCGGAACGACCGGUCCACGGCCACCGCCGCUGCUNAUGUUAUUAUCAUAAUGCAGAGAAUAAAGAGAAGCAAGAUGAUUGUUAUUGUAUUGCUUGAUCUAUCUUCAUAUUACAAUGAUAUCAAUUUAUAGAAUAAAAAAUGAGCAAAGUCAUGCAAAAUCCCUAAAGUAACUAAGAUAUCUUUGACUCAUACAAAAUAUUUCUUAUGACUUCUACAUGUAGUUGUUUCUUGACUUUGUAUUGAGUAUUUUCAACACUCCCCCUCAAGUUGAGUAACGGGAUUCCCGAUGCUCAACUUGCCAAGAACUUCUGAAAAACUCUUGGAAUUCACAGCUUUGGUAAGAAUGUCUGCGAGUUGGUCUUCGGAUCUUACAAAGGGUAGAGUCACAAUACCUCAUUCGAUCUUCUCUUUGAUAAAGUGCCUAUCAACUUCUACAUGCUUGGUUCUAUCAUGUUGCACCGGAUUUUCUGAUAUGCUGAUGGCUGCUUUAUUGUCACAGAACAUUUGACACGUCUUUGUCGGUUGAAGACCCAAUUCAGUCAACAGUCUUCUUAGCCACAGGACUUCAGUCAGCCCACUCUUGAUUCCCCUGAACUCGGCUUCUGCACUAGAGAGUGCUACCACCUUUCUGUUUCUUACUCCUCCAUGAGACAAGAUUCCCUCCAAUAAAGGCAAAGUAUCCUGCUGUUGACUUCCGGUCAACUGGAUUUCCAGCCCAGUCAGCAUCAGUGUAGGCUUGUAUCUCGAGAUGUCCAGUCUUCCUGAACAGUACUCCAUAAUCAAAGGUUCAUUUCAAGUAUCUCACAAUUCUGAGUGCUGCUUCCAUAUGGUCAGCUUGUGGUUGGUGCAUAAACUGACUCACAACUCCAACAGCAUAUGCAAUAUCAGGCCGAGUAUGGGAAAGAUAUAUAAGUUUCCCUACCAAACGUUGAUAUUUUCCUCGAUCCGCCAAUUCAGCUCCCUUCACAAUCUGUAGCCCAUGAUUGACAGCCAUAGGCGUCUCAGCUGGCUUGCAAUCUAGCAUCCCAGUUUCUGCAAGAAGGUCAAGAGUAUACUUCUUCUGAUUGAUAAAAAUCCCUUUCCUCGAUCUGAGUACUUCGAUCCCGAUGAAGUACUUUAGUCUCCCAAGGUCCUUCAUUUCGAACUCCUUGAAAAGAUUUGCUUUCAACUUCUGGAUUUCUUCUAAGUCAUCCCCUGUUAUGAUCAUGUCAUCAACGUAAAUGACUAAGCAAGAAAUAAGAUCACCUCGUUUCUUCAAGAAUAAGGUGUGGUCUGAAUUGCUUUGCUGGUACCCGAACUUCUUCAUAGCUGUGGUGAAUCUUCCAAACCAAGCUCUGGGAGACUGUUUGAGUCCAUAUAAAGUUUUUUUCAAUCUGCAUACCUUCCCUUCCUCGAACUCAUCUGAAAAACCUUGGGGUGCAUCCAUGUAUACCUCCCGUUCUUCUUCAAGCUCACCAUGAAGAAAGGCAUUUGUAACAUCAAACUGAUGAAGAUCCCAAUCCUUGUUUGCAGCAAUGGAGAGGAGCACCCUGACAGUGUUCAUCUUUGCCACAGGCGAGAAAGUUUCUGCAUAGUCGAUCCCAUAUGUUUGUGUGUAGCCUUUUGCAACCAGCCGAGCUUUGUAUCGCUCAAUAGAUCCAUCGGGUUUUCGUUUGAUUGUGAAAACCCAUCUGCAUCCCACAGUUUUCUUCCCUUUUGGCAACCGACACUUCUCCCAUGUGUGAUUCCGGUUUAGGGCUCCUAUCUCUUUCUUCAUAGCAUUUCUCCAAUGCUCGAUCUUCAGGGCUUGCUCUGCUGUUUGUGGAAUCUCCUCAUCAUAUAAGGCCGCUUCAUAGGCUGUGGCAUUUUUGGACAAGUUUCCCUUGGCGAUAUUCCCAAUUGAGUAUCGCGAAUUCCUCACAAUUUUCUCUGGGGUAUACCGUUUAGGAGGUACACCCCGAUUACUCCUGGGUGGUAGCACAUAUCUCCCAGUAUCUCCAUCUACUGUAUUAUCC